rnacentral:tRNA from 1 species
GGAGGAGUAAUCAAGCCUGGCCAAAGAUGCAGGACUUAAGAUCCUGUCUCUCAGGAGUUCGUGGGUUCAAAUCCCACCUCCUCCACCA